rnacentral:misc_RNA from 1 species
ACCAAGAUGAAGGCCGUGCGCCGCUUCUUCGACGAGGGCGAUAAGGUCAAGGUCACGCUGCGCUUCCGCGGCCGCGAGAUGGCCCACCAGGAACUCGGCAUGCGUCUCCUCAACCGGGUGCGUGAAGAGACCGCCGAGAUUUCCAAGGUCGAGGCCGAGCCGAAGCUCGAGGGCCGUCAGAUGAUGAUGGUGCUGGCGCCCAAGGGCUGACCGACCCCGGCAUCGCCAGAGCCAAGUCUUGAAGGGCGGCCCGCAGGGGUCGCCCUUUUUCGUGCGCGUCGCGUUCGGGAAUGGCGA